rnacentral:tRNA from 1 species
AUUUAUAUAGUUUAAAAAAAAACAUUUUUUUUUCAUAAAAAAAUUAUAUAAUUAUAUUAUAAAUA